ensembl:miRNA MIR342 microRNA 342
GAACCUGGGCUCAAGGUGAGGGGUGCUAUCUGUGAUUGAGGGACAUGGCAAAUAGAAUUGUCUCACACAGAAAUCGCACCCGUCACCUUGGCCCGCCUA